rnacentral:rRNA from 1 species
UGAGUAAUGUCUGGGAAACUGCCUGAUGGAGGGGGAUAACUACUGGAAACGGUAGCUAAUACCGCAUAACGUCGCAAGACCAAAGAGGGGGACCUUCGGGCCUCUUGCCAUCAGACGUGCCCAGAUGGGAUUAGCUAGUAGGUGGGGUAAUGGCUCACCUAGGCGACGAUCCCUAGCUGGUCUGAGAGGAUGACCAGCCACACUGGAACUGAGACACGGUCCAGACUCCUACGGGAGGCAGCAGUGGGGAAUAUUGCACAAUGGGCGCAAGCCUGAUGCAGCCAUGCCGCGUGUGUGAAGAAGGCCUUCGGGUUGUAAAGCACUUUCAGCGAGGAGGAAGGUGGUGAGCUUAAUACGCUCAUCAAUUGACGUUACUCGCAGAAGAAGCACCGGCUAACUCCGUGCCAGCAGCCGCGGUAAUACGGAGGGUGCAAGCGUUAAUCGGAAUUACUGGGCGUAAAGCGCACGCAGCGGUUUGUUAAGUCAGAUGUGAAAUCCCCGGG